UACUCAUAGAGCUGAACAACUCAAACCAGGGAAAACAGGAUGUUCUCUGCCCUGAGGGUUUGGCUGGGCCUGGGCUGAUGCUUUAGCAAAAGAUGUCCAUAGUUACUUACUCCCAACAUGUAACUUUUGUGAGCAGAAAAAGUCACUCUGCCUUACUUUGGGUGAAAUAAUCUAUCAUUCAUUUCUUAUUCCCUAGUGGUAGUUGUAUCAAACAGCCUUCUCCUUGUUAAUUUUCCUUCAAAUCCAUACCUGAACGGAUGAUACAAAUAGGCCCGUCACUGGACAUGUAUGCCUCUUUAUGUCAGAAUUUCUUAAACUCUCAUCCCUGAAUGAUCUUCAAGGUCCUGUGAACUCUUUAAAAUUGUCUUCAAAAUGUUAGAUGGAUUUGCAUUUUGUUUUCUGAGGAGAAGCUUUUAUGACUUCAAAAGAUUCCCAAAAAGGCCCACGACCCUGAAACAGGUUGAGCAUUAUUACUCAAUGUAAAAUAGUGAAUUAUUAUCUUGCUUAUUAAUUACUUAUUAGAUGGAAGCUCUAAUUUAUAAAUACUUUUCAUGUCUCACAUCCCUGGUACAUUUCUGGCACGGGAUAGUGAGAGAUGCCAAAACUUGCAAAUACAUUCCUUGAAUGUCUGAUUAAUAAUAUGAUCAUUUUGGGGUUUAGUCUCCUUCAGGUUAGCUGGUAAUUACAUUUCUGAUCUGUAAGGCAGAAACUUUAUAUUCUUGUCCAGCAAUAACUAGCCCAAGAUCUCCUUACCACUAUCCCUAAUCCACAAAACUUGAGAAAUCUCAUGUCUUAUGUGUUUCUGUUCUAGGGGUGUGAGCACAUUGCCAAACAAGAGUGCUGGUUUCCUAAAUACAGCUAUCCUUCACAUACCAUUGACUAUCCAGUCUCAUAAAGUCACCUGUGGAUCAAGAGCAUGCAAAGAAUUGGUCAUGGUUACUUGCAUUUAGUGUCAUAACCAGACUGCAGCUGAGCCAGUACGCUACCAUCCCUUGGAACUCCACGACUGCAGUGCCCUCCUGCCGACUUCCGGGUUUCCGACUGCUGGACGCUGCAUCUAC
rnacentral:lncRNA from 1 species